AGAAUUCAUAGUAUCUACAAAUAUUCAAAACAUUUUUCGCGAAUCUCAUUUAAUUUCUAAUCUUAAACCGCCCAAUGAACUUUCCGUCUUAUUCUUAUAGUUUAAGAAUUAAAAACGGACCAGCAAGCAGAAAUUUGUUAAUGAAGACAAAAAUUUCUUCAUUAAUCAAGAAUGAAAAUCAGAGGUUCGAAGGCGAUCAGAUCCGUCCUAGUUCUGACCGUAAACCAUACCAAAUAGCGUCCCGUCGGCGGUAAAUAUGCCUUAUCGGGCAGCUUCCCGGAAACGAAAAUUUUUCGGUU
rnacentral:ncRNA from 1 species